rnacentral:tRNA from 1 species
GGGGUAAUAGUUAACUAUAACAUUCAAUUUGCAUUUAAAAAGUAUUGAUUUUAUCAAUUUAUCUUA